rnacentral:rRNA from 1 species
CUUGGUUCAGGACGAACGCUGGCGGCCGUGCCUAAUACAUGCAAGUCGAACGGUCUUUUCUAUGGAAGCUUGCUUCCACUGAGAAGAUAGUGGCGAACGGGUGAGUAACACGUGGGUAACCUGCCCAUAAGAGGGGGAUAACAUCCGGAAACGGGUGCUAAUACCGCAUAGUUUUCUUGAUCGCAUGAUCGGGAAAGGAAAGACGGCCUUUGUGCUGUCGCUUAGUGGAUGGACCCGCGGCGUAUUAGUUAGUUGGUGAGGUAACGGCUCACCAAGACGAUGAUACGUAGCCGACCUGAGAGGGUGAUCGGCCACAUUGGGACUGAGACACGGCCCAAACUCCUACAGGAGGCAGCAGUAGGGAAUCUUCCGCAAUGGACGAAAGUCUGACGGAGCAACGCCGCGUGAGUGAAGAAAGGUUUUCGGAUCGUAAAACUCUGUUGUCAGAGAAGAACAAGUUGGAGAGUAACUGCUCCAGCCUUGACGGUAUCUGACCAGAAAGCCACGGCUAACUACGUGCCAGCCGCAGC